rnacentral:rRNA from 1 species
UACAGAGGUCUCGAGCGUUAGGCGGAAUCACUGGGCUUAAAGCGUGUGUAGGCGGAUUGCUAAGUACCUUGUGAAAUCCCACGGCUUAACCGUGGAACUGCUUGGUAUACUGGCUGUCUUGAGCCACUUAGGGGCAACCGGAACAAACGGUGGAGCGGUGAAACGCGUAGAUAUCGGGAAGAACACCCGUGGCGAAGGCGGCUCUCUGGGACGGUACUGACGCUGAGACGCGAAAGCGUGGGGAGCGAACAGG